UACAAUUUAAUAUCGUCAUUAAAUAUAUCAACCGCAAUCUUCUUUCUAAAGUACUCGACAUGACUAGCGUUAAACUCCAAUCUAAGCCCGAACAUUAAAUACAUCGUAACCAUCAAUACAAAAACACCGCAAUCGCCAGUUCCGGGCUCUUGUUGUGGCGCGCUCUUAACUGCGAUAACUUUCCACGGGUCUUCACUCUGCAACUCCGGUCGGAUAUUGUAGAAGCCAACAUAUUCCAACCAUCGAGGGAAUAUAACUUCAAGUGGCUUGAAUUUCAACUUGUACCUUUUGUCGUCGCGAUUUGUGAGUAAUGAGUCAUAAAUCCAGACUUUGUUUUUCCGAAAGUCAACUUGUGCUAAUACC
rnacentral:lncRNA from 1 species